AUUGAACGCUGGCGGAAUGCUUUACACAUGCAAGUCGAACGGCAGCACGGGGGCAACCCUGGUGGCGAGUGGCGAACGGGUGAGUAAUACAUCGGAACGUGCCCAGUCGUGGGGGAUAACGUAGCGAAAGCUACGCUAAUACCGCAUACGAUCUACGGAUGAAAGCGGGGGAUCGCAAGACCUCGCGCGAUUGGAGCGGCCGAUGGCAGAUUAGGUAGUUGGUGAGGUAAAGGCUCACCAAGCCGACGAUCUGUAGCUGGUCUGAGAGGACGACCAGCCACACUGGAACUGAGACACGGUCCAGACUCCUACGGGAGGCAGCAGUGGGGAAUUUUGGACAAUGGGCGAAAGCCUGAUCCAGCCAUUCCGCGUGCAGGAUGAAGGCCCUCGGGUUGUAAACUGCUUUUGUACAGAACGAAAAGGUUUCUACUAAUACUAGGAGCUCAUGACGGUACUGUAAGAAUAAGCACCGGCUAACUACGUGCCAGCCGCCGCCGUAA
rnacentral:rRNA from 1 species